rnacentral:rRNA from 1 species
GGGAGGGGAGGAGGUUAGGAGUGGUGGCGAGGGUCGUUGCCUUGGUUGUUUAGGGUUCGAUUAGAGCAGAGGCUAGCUGGGCUCCGAGCAGCUUAGGAGGAAGGGGUGGCGGAGUUCUACGUCUAGAAACACUUCUGUGAGUGCCCGUUCUGGUAGUGGGAACUCCACCUCAGCAGACUGUGGUAGCUGUUGCAGUUCCGGUUCUAGGUCCUGUUCCUCCCGUAAGGGGGCCUGGUCGUCGCGGAAUAGAAGCGGCCGUUCGUCGACCUCCUGCCGGCGUGGGAACGGCUGAUGUUGUAGGUCUUCCUCAGGUGAGAGG